rnacentral:rRNA from 1 species
CGGACGGGUGAGUAAUGUAUGGGGAUCUGCCUGAUGGCGGGGGAUAACUACUGGAAACGGUAGCUAAUACCGCAUAAUGUCUACGGACCAAAGCGGGGGACCUCCGGGCCUCGCGCCAUCAGAUGAACCCAUAUGGGAUUAGCUAGUAGGUAAGGUAACGGCUUACCUAGGCGACGAUCCCUAGCUGGUCUGAGAGGAUGAUCAGCCACACUGGGACUGAGCACGGCCAG